CCAGGAGAGUGCAGUCUGGGAUUUAGGAGGUCCACCCACCCUGCCAUUCAGUUAUCUAUUCAGCAGAUCUCUAUGGAGCCAGGCACCGUGCCAGGCCCUGGAGACUCAGGGGUGAGCAGACCACACUCCCUCUUCCCAGAGCUUGUAGUGUAGAAGGGAAGCUGGUGUUGACUUACCACAACAGAUGUGAAACUGUAGCUCUGUCAUGGGCUGUGCAUGAGGUCUGCUCUAGCCUGGCAGUCAGUGAAGGCUUCCCUGUGGGCAAGAUACUCAGCAGAGACCAGAAAGAGGAAUGAUGUUGAUGGAGGAAAGAAGGGUGGAAGAAUGCUCCAGAGAACAGCAUGUGCAAAGGCCCUGCAGCCAGAGAGGACACAGAUACAUGAAAAACGUAGAGAAGACUAUUGUGGCUGAGGUGAAGAAUGAAGAUGCAUACAGCGUGUAAAAGGCCUGGAGAGGCAAACCAUGCAAGAUGUGGGGCCAUGAAUCAGCAUAGUCCACUCAUGGACUAUGUGAGGGAAGCCAGCAGCUGCUGUCCCCUGGGGAAGAGUGAGAAUGUUACAACAACUGAGUUUCCUGCUUCAGGCCCAUCAGCUUCCAAUAAGUGAAGACUCUGUCUGGCUCUACUUCAGCCACUAAUGUAGGCAAACCAGAAGACAAUGGAGCUACAUCCUUAUAGUACUGAAAGAAAAAAAAGGUGAACUCAGAACUCAGUGAAGAUGUCUUUCAAAUGUGAAGGCAAAAUAAAAAUGUUUUUCAGACAACAAAAGCUAAGAGAAUUUACUGCCAGGAGACCUGCACAACAAGAAACGUUAAAGGAAGUUCUUGAGACAGCAGAAUGAUACUAGAUGGAAAUGAAGAGCUCUCGUGUUAUACAAAGAAAUAUACAGCUCGAGAAAUAAUAAAAUCAAAGUGUCUAUAAUUCAAAGCCCACAAGGAAGCUCAAGUAAAAAACAAUGUCCCACACUUUAAGGACAAACAAACGAAUGACAGAAGGCUUCACCUCAUCAAACUUGCUCAAGUUCGCUGCCCCAUGGUGGUAGGCCAUGUGCCUCCCAGGAUAGCAAACGUUUUAUAGUACAGCAGCCUGAAAAAUUCUGAGAUACAGAGGAUCCAUGGCAAUGGAGAGGUCACAUCAGAGCUGCAAUCCAC
rnacentral:lncRNA from 1 species